AUUGAACGCUGGCGGCAGGCUUAACACAUGCAAGUCGAGCGAGCGGCGGACGGGUGAGUAAUGUCUGGGAAACUGCCUGAUGGAGGGGGAUAACUACUGGAAACGGUAGCUAAUACCGCAUACCAUCAGAUGUGCCCAGAUGGGAUUAGCUAGUAGGUGGGGUAAUGGGUCACCUAGGCGACGAUGCCUAGCUGGUCUGAGAGGAUGACCGGCCACACUGGAACUUGGACACGGUCCAGGCUCCUACGGGAGGCAGCAGUGGGGAAUCUUGCACACUGGGCGGGAGCCUGGUGCAGCCAUGCGUAGUGUGUGAAGAAGGCCUUCGGGUUGUAAAGCACUUACAUCGAGGAGGCGUUACUCGCAGAAGAAGCACCGGCUAACUCCGUGCCAGCCGCCGCGGUAAUAC
rnacentral:rRNA from 1 species